rnacentral:rRNA from 1 species
GACGAACGCUGGCGGCGUGCUUAACACAUGCAAGUCGAACGGUGACCCAGGGCUUGCCCUGGUGAUCAGUGGCGAACGGGUGAGUAACACGUGGGCAACCUGCCCCCUGACUUCGGGAUAACUCCUCGAAAGAGGAGCUAAUACCGGAUACGACCACUUCGGACAUCCGAUGGUGGUGGAAAGUUUUUCGGUCAGGGAUGGGCCCGCGGCCUAUCAGCUAGUUGUGGGGUAAUGGCCUACCAAGGCGACGACGGGUAGCCGGCCUGAGAGGGCGACCGGGCCACACUGGGACUGAGACACGGCCCAGACUCCUACGGGAGGCAGCAGUGGGGAAUAUUGCGCAAUGGGCGAAAGCCUGACGCAGCGACGCCGCGUGA